rnacentral:rRNA from 1 species
GACGAACGCUGGCGGCGUGCUUAACACAUGCAAGUCGAACGGAAAGGCCCUGCUUUUGUGGGGUGCUCGAGUGGCGAACGGGUGAGUAACACAUGAGUAACCUGCCCUUGACUUUGGGAUAACUUCAGGAAACUGGGGCUAAUACCGGAUAGGAGCUCCUGCUGCAUGGUGGGGGUUGGAAAGUUUCGGCGGUUGGGGAUGGACUCGCGGCUUAUCAGCUUGUUGGUGGGGUAGUGGCUUACCAAGGCUUUGACGGGUAGUCGGCCUGAGAGGGUGACCGGCCACAUUGGGACUGAGAUACGGCCCAGACUCCUACGGGAGGCAGCAGUGGGGAAUAUUGCACAAUGGGCGGAAGCCUGAUGCAGCAACGCCGCGUGCGGGAUGACGGCCUUCGGGUUGUAAACCGCUUUCGCCUGUGACGAAGCGUGAGUGACGGUAAUGGGUAAAGAAGCACCGGCUAACUACGUG